rnacentral:rRNA from 1 species
AGCAGCCGCGGUAAUUCCAGCUCCAAUAGCGUAUAUUAAAGUUGCUGCAGUUAAAAAGCUCGUAGUUGAAUUUCGGGACCAAUAUGUCGGUCGUGCCUCGGUACGUACUGGCAUCGUUGGUUUCUCCCUUCUGACGAACCAUGAUAUCAUUUAUUUGGUGUCGUGGGGAAUCAGGACUGUUACUUUGAAAAAAUUAGAGUGUUUAAAGCAGGCUCACGCUUGAAUACAUUAGCAUGGAAUAAUGAAAUAGGACGUUUGAUUCUAUUUUGUUGGUUUCUAGGAUCGACGUAAUGAUUAAUAGGGAUAGUUGGGGGCAUUAGUAUUCAAUUGUCAGAGGUGAAAUUCUUGGAUUUAUUGAAGACUAACUACUGUGAAAGCAUUUGCCAAGGAUGUUUUCAUUAAUCAAGAACGAAAGUUAGGGGAUCGAAGACGAUCAGAUACCGUCGUAGUCUUAACCAUAAACUAUGCCGACUAGGGAUCGGAUGAUGUUAAUUUUUAAUGACUCAUUCGGCGUCC